GUGAGGAAUAUUGGUCAAUGGGCGGGAGCCUGAACCAGCCAAGUCGCGUGAAGGAAGAAGGAUCUAUGGUUCGUAAACUUCUUUUGCAGGGGAAUAAAGUGCAGGACGUGUCCUGUUUUGUAUGUACCCUGAGAAUAAGGAUCGGCUAACUCCGUGCCAGCAGCCGCGGUAAUACGGAGGAUCCGAGCGUUAUCCGGAUUUAUUGGGUUUAAAGGGUGCGUAGGUGGUUUGAUAAGUCAGCGGUGAAAGUUUGCAGCUUAACUGUAAAAAUGCCGUUGAAACUGUCGGACUUGAGUGUAAAUGAGGUAGGCGGAAUGCGUGGUGUAGCGGUGAAACGCAUAGAUAUCACGCAGAACUCCGAUUGCGAAGGCAGCUUACUAAGCUACAACUGACACUGAAGCACGAAAGCGUGGGGAUCAAACAGGAUUAGAAACCCUAGUAGUCC
rnacentral:rRNA from 1 species